GACGAACGCUGGCGGCGUGCUUAACACAUGCAAGUCGAACGGAAAGGCCCAGCUUGCUGGGUGCUCGAGUGGCGAACGGGUGAGUAACACGUGGGUGAUCUGCCCCUAACUUCGGGAUAAGCUUGGGAAACUGGGUCUAUUACCGGAUAGGACAAUCGUUUAGUGUCGGUUGUGGAAAGUUUUUUCGGUUAGGGAUGAGCCCGCGGCCUAUCAGCUUGUUGGUGGGGUAAUGGCCUACCAAGGCGUCGACGGGUAGCCGGCCUGAGAGGGUGGACGGCCACAUUGGGACUGAGAUACGGCGCAGACUCCUACGGGAGGCAGCAGGGGGGAAUAUUGCACAAUGGUCGCAAGCCUGAUGCAGCGACGCCGCGUGGGGGAUGACGGCCUUCGGGUUGUAAACCUCUUUCGACAGGGACGAAGCUGUGGUGACGGUACCUGUAUAAGAAGCACCGGCUAACUACGUG
rnacentral:rRNA from 1 species